AUCUAAAAUAAUAAAAUAAAAAAUUCUAUUAUGCUUUCGCUCCUGUUCUUUCUCUCUACUUAUGCUGCCGCUUGCUGUCCUCUCUCUGUGCCUCUUCCAUUGUUGGAUGCCUUUCUCUUGUGUACUUGAGGUCCUUUUUAUAGACCUUAGAAAGAGAGGGAUUUUUAUUGUUUACCGACGUGGGAUUACAAGACGUUAUGUUCAGCAUCCUAAUUCUCCACGGACUCCUUAUUUUUUUAAGAUUUAAAAUCUUACAGCUUCUCUGUUCAUCGCAUCACGUCUGUGCGUCCACGUCCCAGCGCCUCACCCAAUUCCGCGUAUCUAAACUCUCUGGUCCAGCCUUGCUCGAAUCCUCUGUAGGCCGCGCCGCGUUAUUUCUUCGUUCGCCCUGGUUGUGAACCGCACUGCUCUUGCACCACCAAGAUCGCGCCCAAAUGACCCGUUGCGCCUAGGUGCGUGUAAAUCUCCUGGACCCACACCACACUCGCGCCAAAUUCACGCUGAACCAGGUUUCCACUUGAAUCCCAUCGUGAGCUCCAGCAAUCCACUUUAUUUCAUGAGCCACACCCAGCCAAAAGCUUUUAAUGCUUUGAAUCUCCAUGAGCCCCUCCAAAUAACCUGGUCCACCUCUUCUCUCUCACAAAAAAUUACGUUUCUUCUUUUUUUUUAUAUAUUUUUAUUCAUUAAAUUUCUAUGUGGUACUCAUGAUGUUGAAAAAUGUAUCCUAAAAUCAGUCAUCUAGAUUGUAGAUGAUUGUGCUCCAUAUAAACAUAUAAAUUAUAAAAUAAUAAAUAUUAUCUAGCA
rnacentral:lncRNA from 1 species